rnacentral:rRNA from 1 species
GAUGAACGCUGGCGGCGUGCUUAACACAUGCAAGUCGAACGGAAAGGCCCUGCUUUUGUGGGGUGCUCGAGUGGCGCACGGGUGAGAAACACGUGAGUAUCCUGCCCUUGACUUUGGGAUAACUUCAGGAAACUGGGGCUAAUACCGGAUAGGAGCUCCUGAUGCAUGGUGGUGGUUGGAAAGUUUCGGCGGUUGGGGAUGGACUCGCGGCUUAUCAGCUUGUUGGUGGGGUAGUGGCUUACCAAGGGUUUGACGGGUAGCCGGCCUGAGAGGGUGACCGGCCACAUGGGGACUGAGGUACGGCCCAGACGCCUACGGGAGGCAACAGGGGAGAAUAUUACACAGUGGGCGGAAGCCUGAGACAGCAACGUCGCGUUCGUGAUGACGGCCUUCUGGUGGUAAACCGCUGUCGCCUGAGACGAAGCGUGAGUGACGGUAAUGGGUAAAGAAGCACCGGCUAACUACGUG